rnacentral:rRNA from 1 species
UGCAGUCGAACGGGCUCUUCGAAGCUAGUGGCGGACGGGUGAGUAACACGUGAGAAUCUGGCUCCCGGUCGGGGACAACAGAGGGAAACUUCUGCUAAUCCCGGAUGAGCCGAAAGGUAAAAGAUUUAUCGUCGGGAGAUGAGCUCGCGUCUGAUUAGCUAGUUGGUGAGGUAAAGGCUCACCAAGGCGACGAUCAGUAGCUGGUCUGAGAGGAUGAUCAGCCACACUGGGACUGAGACACGGCCCAGACUCCUACGGGAGGCAGCAGUGGGGAAUUUUCCGCAAUGGGCGCAAGCCUGACGGAGCAAGACCGCGUGGGGGAGGAAGGCUCUUGGGUUGUAAACCCCUUUUCUCAAGGAAGAACACAAUGAUGGUACUUGAGGAAUAAGCCUCGGCUAACUCCGUGCCAGCA